GCGGGUAUAGUAUAAUGGCUAUUAUGCUACCCUUCCAAGGUGGAAAUACGGGUUCGAUUCCCGUUACCCGCUCCA
rnacentral:tRNA from 1 species